GAUGAACGCUGGCGGUCUGCUUAACACAUGCAAGUCGAACGAACUCUUCGGAGUGAGUGGCGGACGGGUGAGUAACGCGUGAGAAUCUGCCUGUGGGUCGGGGACAACCACUGGAAACGGUGGCUAAUACCGGAUGAGCCGAAAGGUAAAAAAUUUAUUGCCCACAGAUGAGCUCGCGUCUGAUUAGCUAGUUGGUAAGGUAAAAGCGUACCAAGGCGACGAUCAGUAGCUGGUCUGAGAGGAUGAGCAGCCACACUGGGACUGAGACACAGCCCAGACUCCUACGGGAGGCAGCAGUGGGGAAUUUUCCGCAAUGGGCGAAAGCCUGACGGAGCAAGACCGCGUGGGGGAGGAAGGUUUUUGGAUCGUAAACCCCUUUUGUCAAGGAAGAAGUUCUGACGGUACUUGACGAAUAAGCCUCGGCUAACUCCGUGCCAGCAGCCGCGGGUAAUACGGAGGAGGCAAGCGUUAUCCGGAAUGAUUGGGCGUAAAGCGUCUGUAGGUGGCCAGCUAAGUCUGCUGUUAAAGAUCACAGCUCA
rnacentral:rRNA from 1 species